GACGAACGCUGGCGGCGUGCUUAACACAUGCAAGUCGAGCGGUAAGGCCCUUUCGGGGGUACGACGAGCGGCGAACGGGUGAGUAACACGUGGGUGACCUGCCCUCAGCUCUGGGAUAAGCCUGGGAAACCGGGUCUAAUACUGGAUAUGACUCCAUGACGCAUGUUGUGGGGUGGAAAGCCUUGUGCGGCUGAGGAUGGGCCCGCGGCCUAUCAGCUUGUUGGUGGGGUGAGGCCUACCAAGGCGACGACGGGUAGCCGGCCUGAGAGGGCGACCGGCCACACUGGGACUGAGACACGGCCCAGACUCCUACGGGAGGCAGCAGUGGGGAAUCUUGCGCAAUGGGCGAAAGCCUGACGCAGCGACGCCGCGUGAGGGAUGACGGCCUCGGUU
rnacentral:rRNA from 1 species